rnacentral:rRNA from 1 species
AUCGCUCCACGGAUAAAAGGUACCCCGGGGAUAACAGGCUGAUCUCCCCCAAGAGUUCACAUCGACGGGGAGGUUUGGCACCUCGAUGUCGGCCCAUCGCAUCCUGGGGCUGAAGUAGGUCCCAAGGGUUUGGCUGUUCGCCAAUUAAAGCGGUACGCGAGCUGGGUUUAGAACGUCGUGAGACAGUUCGGUCCCUAUCUUCCACGGGCGCAGGAUAUUUGAGAGGAUCUGUCCCUAGUACGAGAGGACCGGGAUGGACGGACCCCUGGUGUUCCGGUUGUCGCGCCAGCGGCAUAGCCGGGUAGCUACGUUCGGAUCGGAUAACCGCUGAAAGCAUCUAAGCGGGAAGUCGACCUCAAGAUUAAAUAUCCCGGGCUUAGGCCCCUGAAGACCCCUCGAAGAUUACGAGGUUGAUAGGCUGGAUGUGGAAGUGCAGUAAUGCAUGGAGCUUACCAGUACUAAUAGGUCGUGAGGCUUGAUUCC